GUGGGGAAUAUUGCACAAUGGGCGCAAGCCUGAUGCAGCAACGCCGCGUGAGGGACGACGGCCUUCGGGUUGUAAACCUCUUUUAGUAGGGAAGAAGCGAAAGUGACGGUACCUGCAGAAAAAGCACCGGCUAACUACGUGCCAGCAGCCGCGGUAAUACGUAGGGUGCAAGCGUUAUCCGGAAUUAUUGGGCGUAAAGAGCUCGUAGGCGGUUUGUCGCGUCUGCUGUGAAAACUGGAGGCUCAACCUCCAGCCUGCAGUGGGUACGGGCAGACUAGAGUGCGGUAGGGGAGAUUGGAAUUCCUGGUGUAGCGGUGGAAUGCGCAGAUAUCAGGAGGAACACCGAUGGCGAAGGCAGAUCUCUGGGCCGUAACUGACGCUGAGGAGCGAAAGCGUGGGGAGCGAACAGGAUUAGAUACCCUGGUAGUCC
rnacentral:rRNA from 1 species